rnacentral:rRNA from 1 species
ACAGGUGUUGCAUGGCUGUCGUCAGCUCGUGUCGUGAGAUGUUCGGUUAAGUCCGCUAACGAGCGCAACCCUCGCUGUGUGUUUAUAUGUGUCACACAGGACUGCUGGUAUUAAGCCGGAGGAAGGUGGGGACGACGUCAAGUCAGCAUGACCUUUAUAUCCAGGGCUACACACACGCUACAAUGGUCAGUACAAUGGGUUGCCAAGCCGCGAGGCGGAGCCAAUCCUAAAAAAGCUGGCCUCAGUUCAGAUUGCAGUCUGAAACUCGACUGCAUGAAGUCGGAGUUGCUAGUAAGCGCAGGUCAGCUAUACUGCGCUGAAUACGUUCCGGGCGUU